GUUGCUUUGAGCAGGUUAAAAGGUACAGUAGCGUUGGUGUUGGGAAUUUUAGUUUCAAGGUUUGGGGGAAGAUUGGGGGCAGGGCUCAGAGAACCGAAUACCCAUGUCCUGUACCUGUGGUCAUCAGAGCAGAUGCAGGGUUCCACAUGCAGAUCUCACUUCCAGAUAACCCCAGCGCCCUGCCUCGGUUCCCGGGCCGCCCUGUAGGUGCUCAGGAGGAAGCCAGCAGAAAGCUGCCCUGCGGCUCUGGAAACUGGAGUCCAAAGUCAGGGGUCAGCAGUCACGCUGGCUCCCAAGGCCUCAGGGAGAAGAGGGUCCAUGUCUCCUAGCAUCUUGUCAUUGCUCGUCUUGUAGAUGCACCACCCCAAUCUCCGCCUCUGUCAUGUCGUGGCAUUGCUGUGUGUUGUCUGUGCCGAAUCCCCCCCUUUUAAAGGGACGCCAGUUGUGUUGGAUCAGGGCCCACCCCCAUGAGCUCAUCCUGACUUGGUCACAGUUGCGGAGAACCUGUUGCCAGGUAAGGUCACCCACACAGGUACUGGGGGUGAGGGCUUCAACGUGUGGUUUUGGGGGGCACAGUUCAACAAUUGCACAUGCAUUCCACGUGUACCCUACUAUGGGCACCUACUAUGUGCAAGGCCCUGGGGCAGUUGGGGAGGGUGGACAGGGAGCCUCAUUGACCUCACAGCCGAUGGCGGGUCAAGUGUGUAAACCAGACAUGGGCUGUGUCUGCUACGGCUCCGCCCGUCGAAAGAUGGGGAAAUCCCCUGUGCUGCCCACCCAGGGUGUGUCUCUUGUCCCCAGCUGCAGGGUCUCAAAAAUGAAGCCAGGCGGUGUUACCAGUAGAAUCGAGAGGCUGCUGUCACCCAGGGAUCCGUGUUCCAGGCUGAGCCACGGGAGGGAGCCUGUGCCUGAUCCCCAUUGUAAGCCACAGUCACUCCUCCCACGGGCUCCCACCACCCAUGCCCCUCGCCAGCGUCCUCACCCCGAGGUGAGGGAAGGAGCGUGUGGAG
rnacentral:lncRNA from 1 species